GCAGUCGCCGCGGGAAUACGGAGGGAGCUAGCGUUGUUCGGAAUUACUGGGCGUAAAGCGCACGUAGGCGGCUAUUCAAGUCAGGGGUGAAAGCCCGGGGCUCAACCCCGGAACUGCCUUUGAAACUAGAUAGCUUGAAUCUUGGAGAGGCGAGUGGAAUUCCGAGUGUAGAGGUGAAAUUCGUAGAUAUUCGGAAGAACACCAGUGGCGAAGGCGACUCGCUGGACAAGUAUUGACGCUGAGGUGCGAAAGCGUGGGGAGCAAACAGGAUUAGAUACCCGUGUAGUCCCUGUCUCUUAUAA
rnacentral:rRNA from 1 species